rnacentral:rRNA from 1 species
GACGAACGCUGGCGGCGUGCUUAACACAUGCAAGUCGAACGGAAAGGCCCUGCUUUUGUGGGGUUCUCGAGUGGCGAACGGGUGAGUAACACGUGAGUAACCUGCCCUUGACUUUGGGAUAACUUCAGGAAACUGGGGCUAAUACCGGAUAGGGGCUCCUGCUGCAUGGUGGGGGUUGGAAAGUUUCGGCGGUUGGGGAUGGACUCGCGGCUUAUCAGCUGGUUGGUGGGGUAGUGGCUUACCAAGGCUUUGACGGGUAGCCGGCCUGAGAGGGUGACCGGCGACAUUGGGACUGAGAUACGGCGCAGACUCCUACGGGAGGCAGCAGUGGGGAAUAUUGCACAAUGGGCGGAAGCCUGAUGCAGCAACGCCGCGUGCGGGAUGACGGCUUUCGGGUUGUAAACAGCUUUCGCAUGUGACGAAGCGUGAGUGACGGUAAUGGGUAAAGAAGCACCGGCUAACUACGUG